rnacentral:rRNA from 1 species
UACGUAGGGUGCAAGCGUUAAUCGGAAUUACUGGGCGUAAAGCGUGCGCAGGCGGUUGUGUCAGUCAGAUGUGAAAUCCCCGGGCUUAACCUGGGAAUUGCAUUUGUGACUGCACGGCUAGAGUGUGUCAGAGGGGGGUAGAAUUCCACGUGUAGCAGUGAAAUGCGUAGAUAUGUGGAGGAAUACCGAUGGCGAAGGCAGCCCCCUGGGAUAACACUGACGCUCAUGCACGAAAGCGUGGGGAGCAAACAGG